CCGUCCGAGGAGCGUUGCGACGAAGAAAUUCGCCAGGCUCGGAAUAUCCUGCAACUGCGCUCACGUACC
rnacentral:ncRNA from 2 species